rnacentral:rRNA from 1 species
AUUGAACGCUGGCGGCAGGCCUAACACAUGCAAGUCGAGCGGAUGAAGGGAGCUUGCUCCUGGAUUCAGCGGCGGACGGGUGAGUAAUGCCUAUGAAUCUGCCUGGUAGUGGGGGAUAACGUCCUGAAACGGGCGCUAAUACCGCAUACGUCCUGAGGGAGAAAGUGGGGGAUCUUCGGACCUCACGCUAUCAGAUGAGCCUAGGUCGGAUUAGCUAGUUGGUGGGGUAAAUGCCUACCAAGGCGACGAUCCGUAACUGGUCUGAGAGGAUGAUCAGUCACACUGGAACUGAGACACGGUCCAGACUCCUACGGGAGGACGCAGUGGGGAAUAUUGGACAAUGGGCGAAAGCCUGAUCCAGCCAUGCCGCGUGUGUGAAGAAGGUCUUCGGAUUGUAAAGCACUUUAAGUUGGGAGGAAGGGCAGUAAGUUAAUACCUUGCUGUUUUGACGUUACCAACAGAAUAAGCACCGGCUAACUUCGUG